CCUACGGGAGGCUGCAGUGGGGAAUAUUGCACAAUGGGGGAAACCCUGAUGCAGCGACGCCGCGUGAGUGAAGAAGUAAUUCGUUAUGUAAAGCUCUAUCAGCAGGGAAGAAAAUGACGGUACCUGAGUAAGAAGCACCGGCUCACUACGUGCCAGCAGCCGCGGUACUACGUAGGGGGCAAGGGUGAUCCGGAUUUACUGGGUGUAAGGGGAGCGUAGACGGCAGUGCAAGUCUGGAGUGAAAGGCGGGGGGUCAACCCCCGGACUGCUCUGGAAACUGUACGGCUGGAGUGCGGGAGAGGUAAGUGGAAUUCCUGGUGUAGCGGUGAAAUGCGUAGAUAUUAGGAGGAACACCAGUGGCGAAGGCGGCUUGCUGGACUGUAACUGACGUUGAGGCUCGAAAGCGUGGGGAGCGAACAGGAUUAGAUACCCGGGUAGUC
rnacentral:rRNA from 1 species